rnacentral:rRNA from 1 species
UACGGAGGGUGCAAGCGUUAUCCGGAUUUACUGGGUUUAAAGGGUGCGUAGGUGGGUUGGUAAGUCAGUGGUGAAAUACUUUCGCUUAACGAAGGAACUGCCAUUGAUACUACCAGUCUUGAAUGUAGUGGAGGUAGGCGGAAUGCGUCAUGUAGCGGUGAAAUGCUUAGAUAUGACGCAGAACACCAAUUGCGAAGGCAGCUUGCUACACUACUAUUGACACUGAGGCACGAAAGCGUGGGGAUCAAACAGG